rnacentral:siRNA from 1 species
UACACGGGAGGGUUGUAUUGCG